UGAUAAUAAAUGGAUCAAAGUCCAAGAAUCUCAUGCUUGCAUGAGAGAUUCUUGGACCUUGAGACAUAUACACGCAUGAGGAAGUAGCACGAUAGUGCGGAUUCCGAAUGUGUGCAUGGAUUUCGAAAGCGUAGCGGAGAAAUCCAUGUUAUUA
rnacentral:sRNA from 1 species